CUCAUUCUCAUCACCAAUGUACAUUUAAAGGUCGAAAUCUGAAGCUCAUCAUCUUAUAUGCUAAGCUGUUUGUUGGAAAAAAUCAAGAAUUUAGGCUGUAAACCAAGAGAUGGGUGGUUUGAGCCGUGUUUUUCCCCCACGCUCCCGACGUCCUCAGCUAUAAGUUCCAUGAGCACAGCAGUAAUACAUCUGUCAACACUAAUUCCACUCACACAAUUCCACAGUGGACGAUGCGGCAUUCUGACCAGCUAGUGGACAGUCGUUUCUGGAUGAGCCAUCCACAUGAGUCUCUAUCAGUGAUAGUGAUUCAGAAGUAUAACUGGUACCAAGAGAGAUGGUGGGACAGGACAAGACCUAGAUGGAAAUAAAAGGAUCACACAAAAGAUGCCAUCAGUUUGGUUUGCCCUUUCUAAGGGAACUCAACUGUUUCCUGGAGUUUUGCUAUUUGCAUUUCAUGCGUUUCUGUUGUGGAAACGAGACGAUGCCUUCGAUCCUCAUCAUUCUCAUUAAAGACAGGUGCAACCAAACUGCUGCUCCAGAGAUGUCCCAAGACAUCAAUAAUGGGGUCAAUGGAAACAGACAUCCCUGGGUAAGCCCCACUGCCCAGCAGAGGAAGAGAGAACUAGUAUAUUUGGUCUAAGAACAUACCUCCUGUUGACUUUCUACCCUACCUACCCUCAGCAUCAGUGUAAAGACGGGGCUCCAGAAACUCACCCUCUCUGGCUCCCUCUAGUCAGAGCAUCACCUCACUCUCUCCUUUGGAUCCACAUUAUUCACUUUAUUCCUGUUUAUGAAACCCCCUCAAAAGCCGCAAACUGCAAAGCCACCCCUCAUCUCCACAUUGUAAGGGUCUGCUCAUCCUCAUUCUGUCCAUCUCUUCCACCUUUCCCCUAAUUCCGAGAUCCUUCCACUGUGCUAGUUGGAUUCCUAGCAAAUCAUAGAGGACAAAUCCCCUUUAUUGUCAUCUGUUCUCUGAAUAUUCUCGCACUUCCUUGUUGUUCAAACAGAAAUCAGGUCCUCAGGAGUCUUUCCACCCCACUGACACCAAUGAUUCACUGAUUCUUAAAUCCCGCUGCUGUCCACUGCUCCUUCCCUUCUUGGUGGUUUCACUCCCCUCCUUACGCAGCUGAAACUCCAUAGUCAAUCCUUUGCCUGCACCCUUCUGCACUUAUCCCUCUCUGAUUUGCUCCCACUUCCCUGGCAAACCACAAACUUGGCUAACUCCAACAUUUCAUUCCCUGCAGCUCACUCUAGUAGCUGAUUUUCCCCUACUUCUGGAAGGGAGUAAGUGUCCUCCUCACCUGCCCGAAACUUCCAUUGCUGAUUUUGGGCUGUUUUCUUUCCUUCAAUUCUGAAUUUUAAUGUAACUGUCACCUGCUGCCCCCAAGUCCUGCCUCCUUAUUUUCCAUGGGAACUCUUGGGUCACUGUCACUUCAUACUAUUUUGAUGCUAAUCCUUAAUCAUUUCAAUAUCCAUGUAACUGAGACUUCUAACGCCUGGACCACCCCAUGGUCAGACUCUGAGACCUCAUCAUCACCACCCUUUGCAGAGCUGCACACCCUCCACAAUAUCAAGUGUGCACAUCCCACUCUCUGCCAGCUGCCUCCUAACAGCAGCUCAUUCCCUCUAAUGCCUUAUGCCAACUGACUUUCCACCCCACUAACAACCACAAUUCAUUUAUUUAUUAAAUCCCUUUCCUGUUCACUGUUCCUCAGCCCCUUGAUGGUUUCACUCCCCUCUUUAUGCAGCUGAAACUCUGUGGUCAACCACUCCAUGAACCCUUUAUGUCCUUAUCCCUCUCUUAUUUGCUCCCACUUCCUUGGCAAAUCACAAACGGUUAAAUCCAAAUCAGCACCUUCUCUGCCUAUAAUCUAUUUCAACUCGUGACCACUAAAUCAAGCAGCCUCUUUACACUGCCCAGCAGUCAUAAGACACCCCACUUUCCAAAAGGACUAUUCCACACAUUCUCUUCUCCUCUCAAAUCCCACACUUCCUCCCCCAUUCUUAUUCUCAGCCAAUGAUCUUUCUUUCUAUUUCUCUGAGAAAAUAGAAGCAAACGGAAGAGAACUUCCACAGACUCCCACCCUUACUGCUGCCCACCACCAGCAUCUAUGUUCAGUGACUCUAGCUUUCUACCUGUUACCAGAGCUGAUCCUCUGUAAAGCUAGCCCUGACCCCUGGGUACUGGAUCAUAGCUAUGGGAAGUUUUACAUUGUAACUCAUUAAUUUUUCCCAGCUGCAAUGAGCUUCUAAAAGAACUUGAAAAGGACAUUUCAUAACAGUUUGUCAAUACAGGAGAUUUUACUAUUAUUAAUAUACACAACAGAUCAAAGUGAAGGAAAGACUUCACUCGGGUGGCCAUUACAGCUGACUGUUGUCAGCCAUGGAGUAAUGGGAAAAAAACCAGUUAGGUGUUUAAAUGCUAGUGCUGACUGACCUUGGGAAAUAUUCCUGAGUUAAAACAAACUGGGUUUGAAUCAUAACUCUGCUACCAACUGGUUUACUAUUUGAACAAGUUAUGAAACAGCAAAGGCCUUUGGUUUCCUGCAUGUAACAGCACUGCCUCAUAAGUUGUAUUGAGGCCUAAGUCCUUAGAAUCAUAUAAAAUGUUCUUGAAAUAUAUAAUUUUCAUGUUUAGUUUCUUCUUGUUGUGUUCAUUUUACAUGGCUAAAAAGUAAAAACAUUGUAUUACCAUUUCCAUGCUGUAGAAGGAAGAAAAGUGACCAAACCUUGCCCCUGCCCCCAAGGUAUCCAUGUCUUACUCCCCAGAAUCUGUGAAUAUAUUACCUUACCUGGAAAAAAGAGUUUGUAGAUGUGAAUAAAGAUUUUGACAUGCAGAAGUCAUCUUUUAUUAUCUGGGUGGGCCCAGUGUCAUUAUAAGAAUCUUUAACGGUAGAGUCUGGGCGCGGUGGCUCACAUCUAUAAUCCCAGCACUUUGAGAGGCUGAGGAGUGCAGAUCACAAGGUCAAGGGUUCAAGACCAGCCUGGCCAAUAUGAUGAAACCCUAUCUCUACUAAAAACACAAAAAUUAGCUGGGUGUGGUGGUGCACGCCUGUAGUCCCAGCUACUAGGGAGGCUGAGGCAGGAGAAGUGUUUGAACCCGGGAAGUGGAG